AUUGAACGCUGGCGGCAUGCUUUACACAUGCAAGUCGAACGGUAACAGGUCUUCGGAUGCUGACGAGUGGCGAACGGGUGAGUAAUACAUCGGAACGUGCCUAGUAGUGGGGGAUAACUACUCGAAAGAGUAGCUAAUACCGCAUGAGAUCUACGGAUGAAAGCAGGGGACCUUCGGGCCUUGUGCUACUAGAGUGGCUGAUGGCAGAUUAGGUAGUUGGUGGGGUAAAGGCUUACCAAGCCUGCGAUCUGUAGCUGGUCUGAGAGGACGACCAGCCACACUGGGACUGAGACACGGCCCAGACUCCUACGGGAGGCAGCAGUGGGGAAUUUUGGACAAUGGGCGAAAGCCUGAUCCAGCAAUGCCGCGUGCAGGAUGAAGGCCCUCGGGUUGUAAACUGCUUUUGUACGGAACGAAAAGCCUGGGGCUAAUAUCCUCGGGUCAUGACGGUACCGUAAGAAUAAGCACCGGCUAACUACGUGCCAGCAGCCGCAGUAACAC
rnacentral:rRNA from 1 species